CCUACGGGCGGCAGCAGUGGGGAAUAUUGCACAAUGGGGGAAACCCUGAUGCAGCGACGCCGCGUGAGUGAAGAAGUAUUUCGGUACGUAAAGCUCUAUCAGCAGGGAAGAAAAUGACGGUACCUGACUAAGAAGCCCCGGCUAACUACGUGCCAGCAGCCGCGGUAAUACGUAGGGGGCAAGCGUUAUCCGGAUUUACUGGGUGUAAAGGGAGCGUAGACGGCAGCGCAAGGCUGGAGUGAAAUCCCAUGGCUUAACCAUGGAACUGCUUUGGAAACUGUGCAGCUAGAGUGCAGGAGAGGUAAGCGGAAUUCCUAGUGUAGCGGUGAAAUGCGUAGAUAUUAGGAGGAACACCAGUGGCGAAGGCGGCUUACUGGACUGUAACUGACGUUGAGGCUCGAAAGCGUGGGGAGCAAACAGGAUUAGAUACCCGAGUAGUC
rnacentral:rRNA from 1 species